AGUGAACGCUGGCGGCAGGCCUAACACAUGCAAGUCGAACGGCAGCACAGUAAGAGCUUGCUCUUAUGGGUGGCGAGUGGCGGACGGGUGAGGAAUACAUCGGAAUCUACUCUUUCGUGGGGGAUAACGUAGGGAAACUUACGCUAAUACCGCAUACGACCUACGGGUGAAAGCGGAGGACCUUCGGGCUUCGCGCGAUGGAAUGCGCCGAUGUCGGAUUAGCUAGUUGGCGGGGUAAAGGCCCACCAAGGCGACGAUCCGUAGCUGGUCUGAGAGGAUGAUCAGCCACACUGGAACUGAGACACGGUCCAGACUCCUACGGGAGGCAGCAGUGGGGAAUAUUGGACAAUGGGCGCAAGCCUGAUCCAGCCAUGCCGCGUGGGUGAAGAAGGCCUUCGGGUUGUAAAGCCCUUUUGUUGGGAAAGAAAAGCAGUCGGUUAAUACCCGAUUGUUCUGACGGUACCCAAAGAAUAAGCACCGGCUAACUUCGUGCCAGCCGCCGCCGUAA
rnacentral:rRNA from 1 species